AUACAGGGGGUGCGAGCGUUAAUCGGAAUUACUGGGCGUAAAGAGUACGUAGGCGGUUGCUUAAGUCAGAUGUGAAAGCCCCGGGCUCAACCUGGGAACUGCAUUUGAAACUGAGUGACUAGAGUUUAAGAGAGGGGAGUAGAAUUCCGGGUGUAGCGGUGAAAUGCGUAGAGAUCCGGAGGAAUACCAGUGGCGAAGGCGGCUCCCUGGCUUAAAACUGACGCUGAGGUACGAAAGCGUGGGGAGCAAACAGGAUUAGAAACCCCUGUAGUCC
rnacentral:rRNA from 1 species